CGCUUCUAGAAUUUAAGAGAGUGAGCAAAAUUUCUCUCUCUAGUUCCAUGAUGCCGUUCAUAAAUAGAGAAGGGACGGAGAAGAAUUAUUCAAACAAUCAUUAAUUUAAAUUGGCUACAAAAUAUCUCAUUCUUCGUCAAUUUGCGAUCUGAAAUUUGAUCAAAGAUAUGUCGACGUCGGAAAUCAAAUCGGACGGAACUGCAUUGUAUAUUUCGACGACCGACGACAAUACGGCGUCGUCACAGCCCCUUAAUACUCCGAAACUUCCGGGUCGACUCCGGCGCCGACUUCUGGAGUGUAAAAGCUCUCCAGUUUCUGCU
rnacentral:lncRNA from 1 species